rnacentral:snoRNA from 1 species
AAGUGAACCAGAGAAAUAUCUAGAAUUUGAAAAUAUGAUACCUGAACGUGAUGACUGGAGUUUGCAUGACAUGUGAUUUGCAUCUCUGUGAUCAGGACUUACCACACCCUGGCUGCUCCUCUCUGAU